rnacentral:rRNA from 1 species
CGGGACACGUGGUAUCCUGUCUGAAUAUGGGGGGACCAUCCUCCAAGGCUAAAUACUCCUGACUGACCGAUAGUGAACCAGUACCGUGAGGGAAAGGCGAAAAGAACCCCGGCGAGGGGAGUGAAAAAGAACCUGAAACCGUGUACGUACAAGCAGUGGGAGCACGCUUAGGCGUGUGACUGCGUACCUUUUGUAUAAUGGGUCAGCGACUUAUAUUCUGUAGCAAGGUUAACCGAAUAGGGGAGCCGAAGGGAAACCGAGUCUUAACUGGGCGUUAAGUUGCAGGGUAUAGACCCGAAACCCGGUGAUCUAGCCAUGGGCAGGUUGAAGGUUGGGUAACACUAACUGGAGGACCGAACCGACUAAUGUUGAAAAAUUAGCGGAUGACUUGUGGCUGGGGGUGAAAGGCCAAUCAAACCGGGAGAUAGCUGGUUCUCCCCGAAAGCUAUUUAGGUAGCGCCUCGUGAAUUCAUCUCCGGGGGUAGAGCACUGUUUCGGCAAGGGGGUCAUCCCGACUUACCAACCCGAUGCAAACUGCGAAUACCGGAGAAUGUUAUCACGGGAGACACACGGCGGGUGCUAACGUCCGUCGUGAAGAGGGAAACAACCCAGACCGCCAGCUAAGGUCCCAAAGUCAUGGUUAAGUGGGAAACGAUGUGGGAAGGCCCAGACAGCCAGGAUGUUGGCUUAGAAGCAGCCAUCAUUUAAAGAAAGCGUAAUAGCUCACUGGUCGAGUCGGCCUGCGCGGAAGAUGUAACGGGGCUAAACCAUGCACCGAAGCUGCGGCAGCGACGCUGAUGCGUUGUUGGGUAGGGGAGCGUUCUGUAAGCCUGCGAAGGUGUGCUGUGAGGCAUGCUGGAGGUAUCAGAAGUGCGAAUGCUGACAUAAGUAACGAUAAAGCGGGUGAAAAGCCCGCUCGCCGGAAGACCAAGGGUUCCUGUCCAACGUUAAUCGGGGCAGGGUGAGUCGACCCCUAAGGCGAGGCCGAAAGGCGUAGUCGAUGGGAAACAGGUUAAUAUUCCUGUACUUGGUGUUACUGC